UACGUAGGGGGCUAGCGUUGUCCGGAAUCAUUGGGCGUAAAGCGCGUGUAGGCGGCCCGAUAAGUCCGCUGUGAAAGUCCAGGGCUCAACCCUGGGAUGCCGGUGGAUACUGUCGGGCUCGAGUCCGGAAGAGGCGAGUGGAAUUCCUGGUGUAGCGGUGAAAUGCGCAGAUAUCAGGAGGAACACCAAUGGCGAAGGCAGCUCGCUGGGACGUGACUGACGCUGAGACGCGAAAAGCGUGGGGGAGCGAACAGG
rnacentral:rRNA from 1 species